UCGAAUCGUUGCUCAUUUGCAUAAAGUUCUAAACUCCGUUUGGAGUCCGCGCUUGGCCGCUCACAGGCCCCGCCCACGCGUAUCGCUGCUUAUUUACGUGAUGUUAAACCCCUCUGCUCUCAGGCCACGCCCACUUCUCUUCACUAACGUUCCUUUCGCCUCCGGUUACUGUAUAAAAUCUGCAACUCUUCUCUGGAAAUGAAUGACUUCCGGCCGCUCUAAUCGCAUCCUGUGUGUGUGUGUCAGUGAAGCUGCAAAUAUAUCCACACACACACACACACACACACGCACAAAACAUAAAAGCUUGAAGAAGACUGAUAAACCGCAGCGGAGUCCGUGAUUUUCUUGGCCACAAAAAAACAAAAAGGUUCAACCAAAGUUUUUGCACGAGGACAUCGGGAAUGGUCCAGGUUACAGCUGUUUACAGAUGUUGCAUUGUCAUUAGUGUUGGAGGAGGGUGUGUCUGGGAUUUAAGACGGGACAGAAACUUUCUGUGCUAUCAGCAUUUGUGUGUGUGUGUGUGUGUGUGUGUUGGGUUUCAACUAGGACGUCCGACAUGGAUCCUCCGGACAUCUGAAGCCGUUUUCCCGGAGUUUAAGUUGGAAAACCGGGAACAUCUCACCACACAGGCCGCCCUCAUGUAACUAAAGGAAGUCCAAACAUGUCCAAAAACUCGACGAAGAGAAUCCACUGGAGCAGCAGAGUGCGUGAAGUGGUGUUAACCCGGGAUAAACACGGGGAGCUCAGUGUGGAUAUUAGAGGAGGCGCAGAGCUCGGUCAGUUCCCCAUGCUCGGAGCUCCGGAUGGGAUCACUACAGAUGGAAGGGCGGCUCAGACCCGGGGAGAACUUCUGCUGGAGGUGAACGACACCCCGGUGGCCGGACUGACCACCAGAGACGUGAUGGCGGUGUUAAAACAUUGCAAAGACCCCGUCCGCCUCAGGUGUCUCAAAACAGGAGGAGUUGUAGAUAAAGAUCUCAGGCUCUACCUCAGCUUGCGCUUUCAGAAAGGCUCUCUAGACCACAAACUGCAGCAGAUCAUCCGGGACAACCUCUACCUCCGCACCGUGCCCUGCACGACCCGGCCGCCUAAAGAGGGGGAAGUUCCUGGAGUGGACUACAACUUUGUGAGUGUUGAGCGUUUCCUGGAAUUAGAAAGAAGUGGAGCUCUGCUGGAGAGCGGAACAUAUGAAGAUAACUACUACGGCACACCCAAACCCGCGGCGGAGGCGAGCAGUGUGCUGCUGAUUCCCGGCUCCGUCCCAAACACAGCCAGCAAACGCAGACGCAACAAAUCCGUCAGUAACAUGGAGAAAGCCGGGAUCGAACCACCUGAGGAGGAGGAGGAGGAGACUGCCGUCGUCAACGGAGUCACAGCCACACCAGACUGCAGUGAGCAGGAGGAGAAGAGUACAGACAACUCCGGGGACACGCCCCAUGCAGACGGGACAAUGAGAGAGGAGAAGGAGGAGACAGACACGGUGAGGGCGGAGACAGAGGAGGAUAAGCCCCGCCUUAAAGACGAGCACUGUGACGAGCUCGGACCUCUGCCCGAUAACUGGGAGAUGGCUUACACGGAGAAAGGAGAGGUGUACUUCAUCGAUCACAACACUAAGACGACAUCAUGGUUAGAUCCACGGCUUGCGAAGAAAGCUAAACCACCAGAGGAGUGCAACGAAGAUGAGCUUCCGUACGGCUGGGAGAAGAUCGAUGAUCCAGUUUAUGGCAGUUACUAUGUGGAUCAUAUAAACAGGAGGACUCAGUUUGAGAACCCGGUUCUAGAGGCUAAGAGGAGACUGCAGAUGCAAAGCCAAGGCCUUUCCUCGCUUCCACUGCCUGCUCUAUACAGAGGUAUAGAGAAGUCCCUGUUCACGCGAGACCCCACACAGCUGAAGGGCAGGUUCCUCUCGACGACGCUACAGAAAAGCACCAUGGGAUUCGGCUUUACGAUCAUCGGCGGAGAUGAGCCGGACGAGUUCCUGCAGGUGAAGAGCGUGAUUCCAGACGGUCCUGCUGCACAGGAUGGCAAGAUGGCCACAGGCGAUGUGAUCGUCUACAUAAAUGAGGUGUGUGUACUUGGUACGACUCACGCAGACGUGGUGAAGUUAUUCCAGUCGGUGCCCAUCGGGCAGAGCGUGACCCUGGCGCUUUGUCGAGGAUACCCGUUACCCUACGAUGCUGAGGAUUCAGGAAACACCUUGAUCUCACCUCUUGGUCUCAUAGGAGACCGCCCCCUGCUGCUUAACGGCCGCAACUGCACCACGUAUGACACAUAUAUGGAGUACUUAAGCCGCACCGCGCACUUCCUGGACGACGGCGUCUCGUUGGCGUCGUCAGGGACGGAGCUGAUCGCCGUCACCAUUGUGAAGGGGCCGGAUGGGUUUGGCUUCACCGUAGCGGACAGCGAUGGAGGUCAGAGGGUGAAGCAGGUGCUAGAGCCUCAGCGCUGCCCAGGUCUGUGCGAAGGAGACCUGAUCGUGGAGAUCAACCAGCGGCCGGCCCUCACGCUUUCUCACACACGGGUGGUGGAAUUGCUGAAGGAGUGUGCGGUCGGAGCCGAGGCCACCCUGCUGGUACAGAGGGAGCGAGGUCAGUUUUCACCUUGGAAGAGUACCAAACAGGUUUUGGAGCACUGGGACUCUCAGGGUGGUGUUUGUGCUCCUGUCCUGCCCCACAGCGCCCCCUACCUGCCCUGGCCCUCAGCUACUGACCCCCCUCAGGGCCUUGACCUCAGCAAACCAGACCCCUAUGACCUGUACACCAAAUCCAGGGCUUUGUAUGAGAGUAGGCAGCCGGGCCUGCCUCGACCUGUUUACCCAGUGGACCCCUCGGCAGAGUUCCAGGAAGUGGAAGUGGAUCUGCACAGAGAGAAAUCCGGCUUCGGCUUCAGGAUCCUGGGAGGAGAGGAAGCAGGACAGCCUGUGAGUCCGGAGGUUCCUGAGAAGAUCCUGAUCGGGGCGAUCGUAGAGAACAGCCCGGCGGAUAAAGAUGGCCGCCUGCGUCCCGGAGACGAGCUGAUUUCAGUGGACGGGAUCUCUGUGGCGGGAAAACCUCAUCGCCACGUCAUCGAUCUGAUGCACGUGGCGGCUCGGACCGGCCAUGUCAAACUGGCGAUACGGAGGAGAGUGCAGCCCGCAUGCGAGUCGUGUCCUCAGAACGGACGCAGCCCCGGCCCCGUGUCCACCCAGCACAGCUCACCUCGGAGUGACUUCAACUCCGGAAACUUCUCCAACAGCGCCGGCGUUCCUCAAAACCACGCCCCUAACACCACGCCCUCGCAGCCCUCGGACACCGCGGCCAGUCAGGCCAGUGACGUCGUCGUUCAGCGCAAGGAGACGGAAGGGUUCGGGUUCGUCAUCAUCAGUUCGCUGAGCAGGCCGGAAACAGCCGCAGCUGCUGCAGCGGUGCCUCAUAAGAUCGGGCGAAUCAUCGAGGGCAGUCCGGCUGAGCGCAGCGGGAAGCUGAAGGUGGGAGAUCGGAUCCUGGCGGUGAAUAAUCAGUCCAUCGUUAGCAUGGCUCACGCCGACAUCGUUAAACUCAUCAAAGACGCGGGACUGAGCGUCACGCUGCGCGUCGUCACACAGGACGAGACGAGCAGUACUCCCUCGGCUGCUAGCUCGGAGAAACCGAGUCCUCUGGCCCACCCGAGUCCGGUGGCACAGAAUAACCAAGCUGAGACGGACACGCCCCCAGACACACACCCCAGCCCUGUCAAUCAAACCAGCCCGAGCAAUCAGACGAGCCCUGAGAGCCAGCCCACUCAGCCUGCAGCUGCCGCGGUGCAGAUGUACACACACGACGGCAGUUACAGGUCAGAGGUCAAAGCCCGUCAGGACGUGAAGCCCGACAUUCGACAUCCCCCGUUCACUGAUUACCGCCAACCGCCCGUGGACUACAGACAGCCUCCUGUAGCGGAGUACACACACACACACACACCACUGCUGGACUACAGACACACUGACCCACGCUCCUACACCAUCACAGAGUACAGACACACACAGAAUUUUGAUUUCUUCACUGUGGAGUUGGAGAAGAGUGUUAAGGGUUUCGGGUUCAGUAUCCGAGGUGGGCGGGAAUACAAGAUGGACCUGUUCGUGCUCCGAUUGGCCGACGACGGCCCGGCCAUCCGCAACGGCAGGAUGAGGGUUGGAGAUCAGAUCAUAGAGAUUAAUGGUGAGAGCACACGGGAGAUGACACACACUCGCGCCAUCGAGCUCAUCAAGUCCGGCGGAAACAGAGUGAGACUGCUGCUGAAGAGAGGGACGGGACAGGUACCGGAGUAUGCAGAUAGCUCCGCCCCCUGGGAUCCUAACCCUACAGCCUCCUCAAGCGUGUCGGAAGUAGCUCCGCCCCUCGAGAGCUUAACCGACCCAUCGCCGUCAUCCCAUGUGAACCCAUCUACAGAGCCACCUCACACGCCGCCGAUCGCUACGGAAGCCCCCGAAAGCUGCCACCAGGGUCUUAAAGCGGCGGAGAAGGCGGGCGCGGGGUCCAGCAGGGGGCAGAACCGGCACCGGGAGGGCAGCAGAGCCAGACGCCGAAGCUCCGGUGGAAACAAGGGGCACCAGAGUCGUUCCGACGACACGAAAGCGGAACCCGGCAAGAGUCGAUCCAAAGAGCGGAAACGAGACCUGCUUAAACCCCUGCGAGGCGGCGUCGAGGUCGACAGGGGUGGCGUGGAGGGCGUCGGAAUCGUGCAGCAGGUCAAAGGUCAGGCGCGUGAGCCAGACAGGGGGACGGGGGAGAGAAAGACGUCCAAGAACACCAGCAGCAUGGCGAGCAGGAAGGCGACCGUGUCCCCAGGGCCGUGGAAAAUCCCAGGGUCGGAUAAACUCCCGAGCAGCCUGCGUUCAGCCUCGUCCACCAUCAGCAGAUAAAACACACACACACACACACACACACACACACACACACGGUUAUCUUCGAUUAGCCCUGAAGUGAUGAUCAAUAAGCCCCAAAAAACGAAAGAAAACCCCUGUCGAUUCAGUUUGAAUGAUUUGCUCUGAAAUCCUGGACCUCAGAGCCACAAAGAUCCCGGAUCCGUCUCCCACGACCCUCACGUCCACACGUCCCUCACGUCCCUCACGUCCCUCACGUCCUCACGCGCUCACAGACAGACACGCAUUAAGUUAUAUUUGAUUUCUAAAUUAUUCUUUUAAAGAGACAUGACACCCACCACCUUAAAAACUGGAAGUGUGUUUUUUCUCAGAAAAGAAAGUGAUGACGACGACGAUGAUGAUGAUGAUGAUGAUGAUGAUGAUGGAUGUGUGUCGCGUCGGAGGAGAAACAUCAAAACCGAACUGUCCCAUGCAUCAGAACCACGGCGGGUUUUAUACGCACGGGGGAACAGAUUCCGUCUUAACGGAGAAGAAGCAGACGACGGAUGAAGGACGUAACGCAGGAGUUUAUUCCCAUGUGUUCUGCCUUAAAAGAAAGAAACUGCAGAUAUCUAAUAAACACACGGAUGAUUAGAGAAAGACGUAUAUUAUAUUAUAUUAUAUUAUAUUAUAUUAUAAACAGAGAUAUAUAUAUAACAUGCCACAUGAAUACACAUAAGUGUAAAUACACUCACCGCUGUUUCACUCUCAACAACACAACCUCCGCCACGCUUCCUCCUCGGAGCCGUCCGAUCCGUCUCCUGCUCCCGCCUGCCGUUGUCCGUCAGCCAAUCAGCAUCGAGACGCUUUAGCGAUCGUCGCUUCGAGUCCACGUGAAUCAGAAGAAGGUUCGGGUGACCAAAAAACGCCGUUAACUUCGACUCUUUUUUUUUUUUUUUUUUUUACGCUUCAGGUACGAGAAUCGGGGAAUAUUUACGAACUACAUCGCAGUGCUAAUGCUGAGGAGUCUUUCUAAAAAAAAAAAUGUACAAAAAAAAAAAAAAAAAUGACGUUCGGUAGCUGGGUUCCGUAUACAUCAGCAAAACGUUAACUUUUGACUUUCAAGAAUGUCGAUUCGUCACGGCUUUUUCGUGUGUUUGGAGAAUUAUUAUUAUUUUUUUUUUCAGUUGGUCGUCUGAAAGGUUUCGAAUAACAUCUGGGCUUAAUUAUCAGCUGAGGAAUCCUCCGACUUCACGGUAAAGCUUUCCACAAAGCCAUCAGUGCAAUGUAGCAGCGUGUAUCACGUCAUCUCACACAGACACACACCUCUAUGCGUGAGUACUGCAGAUAGCGGGACAAGCUGGAAGAGGAACGUUCGUUGCACAGAGCCGGACGCUUUCGGGUUGAAAACGGGAUUAGACGGAAAUCUACUACCUUUAAGCGGUUAUCGAGACGGUCGACGCGAAGCUCAACCAAAUACCUGCAAAGUAAUUCCCACCUUUACACGUGACAGCGAAAAAGACUUAGUAAUAUAUAAACCUCCGUGUGUGUGUGUGUGUGUGUGUGUGUGUGUGUGUCUUUUAUUCCUCUUCUAACACAGCAAUUUACCGACGAUUAAAAUUUCCGAUUCCUUAAAGGAUGAAACUUCGUACGUUUUUAUCCGUUUACGGUUGCAUUUGAAGGUCGUUCCUGUUCCCACGUACGUUACAGCAGCUAUAAACAGUCGUUCCUUCAGCUCAGUCUCUCUCUCUUCUCUCCCUCUUGUUCGGUUAAUAAGACCAAAUGAAACGCAGCUUUUUUGUUAGCGAGAAACCGUGAACUCCUCCGUACUGAAGAUGUCGUAAAAACCUCUGACACUGGAGACUCCUUCCAUAAAUGUACAAUAAACACCUCUUUGCAUAAAUGUCAGCUUAUCAACAAUUGCAUACUAUUUUGUAUGAUUUGGAGCGUCUCUGGCAACACGCUUUAAACACAGAGUAUUACUUCUGCUAUUAUUAUUAUUAUUAUUAUUAUUAUUAUUAUUAUUAUUAAUGAUGCUUGGAUUUAGACCACACCCACACAUAUAAUUGGACGUUUCACCCGUUAAUAUUGAGUGUAUUCAAUAUUGAAAGAAAUCACCCAAUCUGGCAACACUGUCUGAAGCAUCUCUCCCUGUGAUGAGUCUCUGUGAUAAGUCCUUGUGAUAAGUCCUUGUGAUGAGUUCCUAUGAUUAAUCCCUAUGAUGAGUUCCUAUCAUGAUUCCCUGUGAUUAAUCCUUGUGAUUAGUCCCUGUAAAGAGUUCCUAUGAUGAGUCUCUAUGAUGAGUCCAUGUGAUGAGUCCAUGUGAUGAGUCCAUGUGAUGAGUCCAUGUGAUGAGUCCCUGUGAUGAGUCCCUGUGAUGAGUUCCUAUGAUGAGUCCCUGUGAUGAGUCCAUGUGAUGAGUUCCUAUGAUGAGUCCCUGUGAUGAGUCCAUGUGAUGAGUCCAUGUGAUGAGUCCAUGUGAUGAAUCCCUGUGAUGAAUCCCUGUGAUGAGUCCCUGUGAUGAGUCCAUGUGAUGAGUCCAUGUGAUGAGUCCAUGUGAUGAGUCCUUGUGAUGAAUCCCUGUGAUGAGUUCCUGUAUCCGGAAAGUAUUCACAGCACUUCACUUGUUGCACAUUGUGUUAUGUUACAGUCUUAUUCUAAAAUGGAUUAAAUUCAUUAUUUUCCUCAGAAUUCUACAAACAACACCCCAUAAUGACAACGUGAAAGAAGUUUGUUUGAAAUCUUUGCAAAUUCAUUAAAGAUAAAAAACAAAAAAAGCACACGUACAUAAGUAUUCACACCCUUUGCUCAAUACUUUGUUGAAGCAGCUUUGGCACCGAUUACAGCCUCAAGUCUUUUUGAGAAUGAUGCUACAAGCUUGCACACCUAUUUUUGGGCAGUUUCUCCCAUUCUUCUUUGCAGGACCUCUCAGGCUCCAUCAGGUCGGAUGGGGAGCGUCGGUGCACAGCCAUUUUCAGAUCUCUCCAGAGAUGUUCAAUCGGGUUCGAGUCUGGGCUCUGGCUGGGACACUCAAGGACAUUCACAGAGUCGUCCUGUAGACACUCCUUCGUUAUCCUG